rnacentral:lncRNA from 1 species
UGUAACUUACUGACUUGUAUACAAAAAAACUCUCAGAUGAUAGACGCCCGUGUCGCCAGGUUGUGUGCCUCACACGACUGAGUCACACACCCGUAUCUCAAGCCAUGUGAACCCAAAAUUACCUAAAAUCAAGCCAUCCUAAAACCAUUUUCUACCUAACCAUUCUUACCAUUUGAUCACAUAAUCAAGGGUUUCAAAUAUCAUCUAAACAUACAUAAAUAUGCC